UACGAAGGGUGCAAGCGUUACUCGGAAUUACUGGGCGUAAAGCGUGCGUAGGUGGUUUGUUAAGUCUGUUGUGAAAGCCCCGGGCUCAACCUGGGAAUGGCAAUGGAUACUGGCAAGCUAGAGUGCGGUAGAGGGUAGUGGAAUUCCCGGUGUAGCGGUGAAAUGCGUAGAGAUCGGGAGGAACACCAGUGGCGGAAGGCGGCUACCUGGACCAGCACUGACACUGAGGCACGAAAGCGUGGGGAGCAAACAGGG
rnacentral:rRNA from 1 species